rnacentral:pre_miRNA from 1 species
CGGGAACUCGGGUGCGAGGGUGAACACAACAUCCGGACAAGCACGUGCGCGUUUCAUGUUCUUGCCCCGAAGUUGUCUCCGCCUUCAAAACCCGCAAGCUACG